rnacentral:rRNA from 1 species
UACGUAGGGGGCUAGCGUUGUCCGGAAUCAUUGGGCGUAAAGGGCUCGUAGGCGGUUUGUCGCGUCGGGAGUGAAAACCCAGGGCUUAACCCUGGGCUGGCUUCCGAUACGGGCAGACUAGAGGUAUGCAGGGGAGAACGGAAUUCCUGGUGUAGCGGUGAAAUGCGCAGAUAUCAGGAGGAACACCGGUGGCGAAGGCGGUUCUCUGGGCAUUACCUGACGCUGAGGAGCGAAAGUGUGGGGAGCGAACAGG